CACAAAUUCACUCAAAAUCAAGGAGUGCAGCAAGGAAACGGGAGGAGCAAGAAGGCGAGGAGAGACAGCGGCGAAGCAGGGCGGGGGGAGGACAGCCCUGAACCGAGAGGAUCCACCGAGUGAGGAUAAAUUGCUCGAGGGAAAGUGAGGUCAAAGCGAAUAAUUGAAUUGAAGAAUAAACAUUUCAGGUUGAACGUCAAGAGGAUGGAGUGAUGAUCGGAGUCGGUGUUGUUAAACAAUCAAGUUGAUCUCCCAACGGUUCGUGUCUUCAUACACGAAGUCGUUUAGUAAGGACUUAUUCCGCUGUGUUUUUGUGAUGUGAGAAUUGUAGAAUCUCACCAUCAACUCUGAUUUAUUUGAGGAGACGUUCAUUCUGUUUUCAAGACCAUGUAAUGAAAUACUCGGCUUCUAUGAUAUCAAUUGACUUGGUCUUUGUGUAAA